CGCAAUGGGCGAAAGCCUGACGGAGCGACGCCGCGUGAUUGAUGAAGUCCUUAGGGACGUAAAGAUCUUUUAUGAGGGAGAAAGUUAUUGAUAGUACCUCAUGAAUAAGGGGUUGCUAAACUCGUGCCAGCAGCAGCGGUAAUACGAGUGCCCCAAGCGUUAUCCGGAAUCACUGGGCGUAAAGCGUGUGUAGGUGGUUGUGUUAGUCUUUUGUUAAAUUCUUCGGCUUAACCGGGGACAUGCGAAGGAAACGGCACAACUAGAGGAUGCAAGGGGUCGACGGAACUCAUGGAGUAGGGGUGAAAUCCGUUGAUAUCAUGGGGAACACCAAAAGCGAAGGCAGUCGACUGGUGCAUUCCCGACGCUGAACACGAAAGCGUAGGUAG
rnacentral:rRNA from 1 species